CUACGGGUGGCUGCAGUGGGGAAUAUUGCACAAUGGACGAAAGUCUGAUGCAGCGACACCGCGUGGGGGAUGACGGUUUUCGGAUUGUAAACCCCUGUUAAGUGGGAAGAAAUGCCUGUGGGUAAUAUAUACAGGAGAUGACGGUACCACUAGAGAAAGCUCCGGCUAACUUCGUGCCAGCAGGCCGCGGUAAUACGAAGGGAGCAAACGUUAUUCGGAAUUACUGGGCGUAAAGAGCGUGCAGGCGGUUAAUUAAGUUGGCUGUUAAAUACCCUGGCUUAACUGGGGAUCAGCGGUCGAUACUGGUUGACUAGAGGGCAAGAGAGAGAAGUGGAAUUCUUGGAGUAGCGGUAAAAUGCAUAGAUCUCAAGAGGAACACCAGUUGCGAAGGCGGCUUUUUGGCUUGUCCCUGACGCUGAAGCGCGAAAGCGUGGGGAGCAAACAGGAUUAGAUACCCCUGUAGUC
rnacentral:rRNA from 1 species